rnacentral:tRNA from 1 species
AAAUUAAAGCUUUUAUAGUUUUUCAUUUACAUUGAAAAGAGUCUUAGUUUUAGAUAAUUUGAAUUUAUAAUUUUAUUAU